AGUGAACGCUGGCGGCGUGCUUAACACAUGCAAGUCGAACGAGAACGGAUUAUAGCUUGCUAUAAUUGUCAGCUAAGUGGCGCACGGGUGAGUAAUGUAUAGGUAAUAUGCCUCUUACUAAGGGAUAACAAAUGGAAACGUUUGCUAAUACCUUAUACUCCUUAUUAACAGAAGUUAAUAAGGGAAAGAUUUAUUGGUAAGAGAUUAGCCUGUAUUGUAUCAGUUAGUUGGUGGGGUAAUGGCUUACCAAGACUAUGACACAUAACUGGUUUGAGAGGAUGAUCAGUCACACUGGAACUGAGACACGGUCCAGACUCCUGCGGGAGGCAGCAGUGGGGAAUAUUGCACAAUGGACGAAAGUCUGAUGCAGCAACGCCGCGUGGAGGAUGACACAUUUCGGUGCGUAAACUCCUUUUAUAUGAGAAGAUAAUGACGGUAUUAUAUGAAUAAGCACCGGCUAACUCCGUGCCAGCCGCCGCGGUAACAC
rnacentral:rRNA from 1 species